rnacentral:misc_RNA from 1 species
UCGUAACAAGGUUUCCGUAGGUGAACCUGCGGAAGGAUCAUUAAUUAUGUUAAAGCGCCUUACCUCUUAGGGUUUCCUCUGGGGUAAGUGAUUGCUUCUACACUGUGAAAAUUUGGCUGAGAGACUCAGACUGGUCAUGGGUAGACCUAUCUGGGGUUUGAUCGAUGCCACUCCUGGUUUCAGGAGCACCCUUCAUAAUAAACCUAGAAAUUCAGUAUUAUAAAGUUUAAUAAAAAACAACUUUUAACAAUGGAUCUCUUGGUUCUCGCAUCGAUGAAGAACGUAGCAAAGUGCGAUAACUAGUGUGAAUUGCAUAUUCAGUGAAUCAUCGAGUCUUUGAACGCAGCUUGCACUCUAUGGUUUUUCUAUAGAGUACGCCUGCUUCAGUAUCAUCACAAACCCACACAUAACAUUUGUUUAUGUGGUAAUGGGUCGCAUCGCUGUUUUAUUACAGUGAGCACCUAAAAUGUGUGUGAUUUUCUGUCUGGCUUGCUAGGCAGGAAUAUUACGCUGGUCUCAGGAUCUUUUUCUUUGGUUCGCCCAGGAAGUAAAGUACAAGAGUAUAAUCCAGCAACUUUCAAACUAUGAUCUGAAGUCAGGUGGGAUUACCCGCUGAACCUAAGCAUAUC